rnacentral:rRNA from 1 species
UCAAGUUAUUAAGGGUGCAAGGCGGAUGCCUUGGCACUAGGAGCCGAUGAAGGACGUGAUAAGCUGCGAUAAGCUUCGGGGAGUUGCACGUAAACUUUGAUCCGAAGAUUUCCGAAUGAGGAAACUCACUUAGAGUAAUGUCUAAGUAUCAUUAAGUGAAUACAUAGCUUAAUGAGGGGAACUCAGGGAACUGAAACAUCUAAGUACCUGAAG